AACGAAUCGCAUGGCCCUGCGCCGGCGAUGGUUCAUUCAAAUUUCUGCCCUAUCAACUUUCGAUGGUAGGAUAGUGGCCUACCAUGGUUUCAACGGGUAACGGGGAAUUAGGGUUCUAUUCCGGAGAGGGAGCCUGAGAAACGGCUACCACAUCCAAGGAAGGCAGCAGGCGCGCAAUUACCCAAUCCCAACCUGGGGAGGUAGUGACAAUAAAUACUGAUACAGGGCUCUUUUGGGUCUUGUAAUUGGAAUGAGUACAAUUUAAAUCCCUUAACGAGGAACAAUUGGAGGGCAAGUCUGGUGCCAGCAGCCGCGGUAAUUCCAGCUCCAAUAGCGUAUAUUAAAGUUGUUGCAGUUAAAAAGCUCGUAGUUGAACCUUGGGUCUUGUUAGCGGGUGCCUCCCAACGGGGGUUACCAUCGACAGGCAGGGCCUUUCUCCUUGAGUAGUCCGGCGUGCCCUUCGCUGGGUGUGCCGGGCAAUCGGGACUUUUACUUUGAAAAAAUUAGAGUGUUCAAAGCAGGCAUAUGCUCGGAUACAUUAGCAUGGAAUAAUAGAAUAGGACGUUUCGGCUUAUUUUGUUGGUAUUGACGGCCGGCCGUAAUGAUUAAUAGGGAUAGUCGGGGGCAUCAGUAUUCAAUUGUCAGAGGUGAAAUUCUUGGAUUUAUUGAAGACUAACUACUGCGAAAGCAUUUGCCAAGGAUGUUUUCAUUAAUCAGUGAACGAAAGUUAGGGGAUCGAAGACGAUCAGAUACCGUCGUAGUCUUAACCAUAAACUAUGCCGACUAGGGAUCGGGCGAUGUUGUUAUACUGACUCGCUCGGCACCUUACGAGAAAUCAAAGUCUCUGGGUUCUGGGGGGAGUAUGGUCACAAGGCUGAAACUUAAAGGAAUUGACGGAAGGGCACCACCAGGAGUGGAGCCUGCGGCUUAAUUUGACUCAACACGGGGAAACUCACCAGGUCCAGACACAUUAAGGAUUGACAGAUUGAGAGCUCUUUCUUGAUCAUGUGGGUGGUGGUGCAUGGCCGUUCUUAGUUGGUGGAGUGAUUUGUCUGCUUAAUUGCGAUAACGAACGAGACCUUAACCUGCUAAAUAGCCAGGCCCGCAUCAGGCGGGUCGCCUGGCUUCUUGGAGGGACUAUCGGCUCAAGCCGAUGGAAGUUUGAGGCAAUAACAGGUCUGUGAUGCCCUUAGAUGUUCUGGGCCGCACGCGCGCUACACUGACAGAGCCAACGAGUACAUCACCU
rnacentral:rRNA from 1 species